AGAAGGGUGAUUUGUCAAACUUCAGAAUCAACUUUAAAUGUAAAAACAAAAAGAUCAUUCCACCAACUCAGGCCACCUUGUUGAGUGAAGAGAGAAAACAUUUACAGAACACCUGGAAAGACCUUCGGGCCUGGAGCUGAGAAAUACGUGGAAGCCUCACUAGAAUGAGUUCUUUAUUGGUUCGGUGGACAGCCAGGUUACUAAGGAGCACUUUUUGUUAAAUAAGUGACCAAAAUCCCCUUGGGCCAUCUCCUAAAAUGAUCUUUAUCAUAAUAGCUACAGUAAAAAGAAAGAAGGAGAGGUAUUAAUGUGGGUGGAAAUCAGGACAGUUUCCUAAUGCCGUG
rnacentral:lncRNA from 1 species